GUCACUCUCCACGAACAUGAUUUCAUGACCCACAGAUGGGAUGAAAGAGUCUGAAAAGGCUGCUGCUUUCAUACACAAAACCUGCUCACUCUUGGCCACCAGUGACCCAGAGCCUCUCCUAAAUGCCUAAUCUACCCAUGUUUCCCCUAGAUCUGCAGGGGCUCCAUCGAAUGCCUAUAAUACCUUUGAUUAGGCAAUGGGCUUCAAGGCUCCCUUCUCACCAUCCCAGCCCUUAGGGCCAUCCCAUUCUUCCUGUCCUUUCCCGAAGCGUUUCUCGAGAUGAACUCAAGGAGCACCCACUAGGAAGUGGAAGAGAAAGAGAAAGCAAAAAGAGCAAGAGUUUCAGUAAACAAGGGAGUGGCAUGGACACACCAAGAGAUCAUUCACCCACUAUUCCUUUGGAGAAGAAUCCCACAGCUUAAAGAUUGGAAGAGAGAUGCUGGCGACGCAGCGUCCCCUACAACACAGAGCUGUCCCAGGAUGAACCACCUUGGAGGGACGGUGGUUGCUCCUUGGGAUCCUUUCUGGUGCCCUUAGUUCUCCCGGAAAGCAAAGCAGAAGGCGACCAGAAGGACUCAUCCACCUCUUGCUACUCACAAGUGAGAAGGAAUUUACUAUCUGUCUCAAGAGCACUGAUUAUGAACCAACUGCCGUCCUGUUGCACUUCCACUCAAGCCUCACAGAUAGCUAUUGUGGAGCCCAUGUUACUGAAGAGGAAAGAAGCACGGGUUAUGUCACUUGCCCAGCAAGGUCACACAGCUGGAGGGAACCAGGUUUUAAGCCCUGGGCUGUCUAGCUUUAUCACCUCACUACACCUGGCAUCAGCUGGGCAGGGGAUCUUUGCAUCUCAUUCGGAACUGAAACCCAGGAAGUUAAACUUGUCACCUCAACCACCAGGCCCACAGGAGUUCGGCAAUGAGGACUCCUCAACCAGUGCUCCUUCCACAAGUAUGGGGGACCCCAGCCAAGUCAGCAAAAAAAAUUCCUGGGCUCUGAGCCCCUCCCCUCUACGCCGGGCCAGCCGCCUGUCAUUUCCUGGGGCAGUGCUUUCCUGCCUUCCACCAAUCCAAACCCAACCCCCAGCGAAGGCCCCACCACAUCCUCAAUCUCUCAGGGAAGCCCAAUCACUAGAACAAUCUUUGUGCCCAACUCCAAGCGGUGUGUCUGCACAACACCACCCUUACCGCCAAGUUAAGGGUUAAUGGGGGGAGUGACUGGCAGACGUGAAACCGACAGUUAUGAUGUAUCCAUGAAAGGUCCCCCUGGGGUAACUCUGGGGGCUGCAAAGGCAGAAGGGGGUUCCUAAUGCCCCACAGCUGUGGCUCCAAGGGGCAUGCCUGCCAGAAGUGAUUUUUCACGGGAAGCUGCAGAAUGAGAAGUCACGCACAGGUAGGGAGAGAGGACUGAUCCAGGCAGAGGACACAAGGGCGUCCAGCCCUCCUACCACCACCCAGGUGAGCGAAUGAAGCCCCAGGAGGUGGAGAGAGCUUCAAAUUGCUGGAGGGAGCUUGAACCUGGAGAGGGCUGCAGGCGGGCAGUGCCCUGGGAGUCUCUUCGUCCAUACCUCGAGGGUAAUGGGAAGGCUAGGAAGGGUUUGCAAGCAGUGUCACGUGGUUGGCUUUGCUCAGGCUGGAUGGGAGGAGGAGGAAGCCGGAAGGAAGAUGAGGAGGAGGUGACAGUAACCGGGCCAGGGUUGUGGGCAGGCGGCAACAGCAGGAAAGAGAGGUGAACGGACGUGAAACAUGUUGAGGAGGUAGAACCACCAGGACUCGGGGACCUGAUGGGUGGCGGAGGAGAGGAAAGAGGCCACGAAUCUUUGCCCCAGCCUCAGGCUGGCUCCUGUGCCAUUAGCCAAGACAAAAGGGAUGCGUUUGGGGGGCUGGGAGGCAGGCUCAGCGGAGGUGUGGGGCUGGGGCCGGGGACGCGCUCACACGUGCUCUACGUCUCCCAGUCUCACCCCUUCCCGUUCUUUCUCCACAGAUACCUUAAUCCACACACCCCGUGCUUAAAACCCUUCAGGGGAGUUUGCGGUCACAUCUCAAAGGCUUGGGGCAAACAAACCAAGCUCCUUAAAAGGCAACCUUUGUAAACCCCUACACCCUCCAAUAAAACGUAGUGUUGGGACAUAC